AUUACACCCAUUGCCAAGAUAAAUCAAUUGAAAAUCAAAUUAAUGUGAUAAAUUUAUAAAAAUUAAUAUUUUAAAGUAAUAUAUAAAUAAUUUCAAUAAUGUCAUAAAAUAAUUAGUAUAUAUUAUAUAACAACCAAUGAUGUUUUAUAAUAUAUGCUUGUUUCAGUUUAUAUUAGAUUUUCAAUUUAUAAUGAAAUUUUCUUAAUUUUAGAUUUUCGGUUAAUUUGAAAAUCUACUGUUUUAGUUGUUAUUGGUGUGGAGGCGGUUGCCCCUUUUAAAAAAUGAGAUGUGUCACGGAAGUCAAUUAUCUUAUGGUGGAUAGAUGUAGGGGUUUCUAGUUCACAUAUUGUGUUUAAAUAAUGUCUGGUGGUAUUGUGCAAAUUACGAAAUGCUAUUUGUUUGAAACAAAGUGAACAGUUAAACGUAUACAGAUAGUUAUGGUAGUGGACAUAUAGUAUAUUUUAUUGGUUGAGAGCAUAAAGAGACUGGCUUAUUGAUGCAUUAUUUGACGAUAUAAAACAUUUGCUUAAAGUAAUAGCAGUAGUCGCAUCUAUUGAUAAAUUAGAAGGUAUAAGAGUCUACAAAAAUUGAUUAAAAAAAGUCUAUAAACAAUUUAUAAAGAUCUAUAUCCUUUUGUAAGGCUUUGAAAAAUACCUUUCAAAAUUAUAUAAUGUCAAUCUUUAUAAAAUAACAUAGUAGAGGAAAAAUAAUAUGAACACAAUAUGUUUUUUUCUCUCUAAUUGCAUUGGUCUAAAUAAAUAUUCCAUCUGCUUCAAGUUUUUCGAAGGCGUCAAUGAGCACAUCUAGGGUCCAUGAUGAACUCCAUCACGGCACUCAUCUUCUUUUAGUUUCCUCUUUUCCAAUAUGGACAAGGAGGAUACUGAAUGGCUGAUGUUUGAUAUUGAUCCCAGAGCUCCUGAAACUUCUCAUAACAACUUUCCAUCAUUUUUACAUGUUCGUUUCCACCAAAAGAAACUUCAUGGUCCAAGAAUCAGACAAAACAGGAAUUACAGAAUCUAAUUUGAAAUAUUAAACUGGCUGUGAUAGAAGUCGAUUUUCUGUGUUUAUACAGAUUACCCUAACAAGUGAGGAGUCAAAAGCAUGCUCAGUAUGUAGAAACACACAAGUUCCUGUACGCAAAGAUACAUUUUUUAAAGAAAAGUCAGACCUUUCGAAUCCAUUAAGGUUCAGUAAAGAACAUGGUCAUUGAAUUAAGAAACAUACAAUAACCCCUUGUUUCUAUGCUUCUGCCCGUGUUAUUUUCUUCACAUGCUUCAAGACCCUAUUUCUCCACAACAUGUAACGAAGACCCAACACUGAAACCAGUAAUAUUUCUAUAUUAACAAAAGACUCAUUUUUUUUGGAAAAAGCAGUAUUAACGAAGAGAUAUUUACCAUGGGAAGGCCACCAACUACUAAUGCUACAUCGAGAGCAAGAGAUCUGGUAAAAUAUAUCUAGGAGAAACCUGAAGCUGAAAGGAGUGAACCAAUCACUUCUGGUGUCAAUGGUCUACAUCCUCUUAUUUCUUAGCUCUCCAUCUGUUAUGUCUUAGGUUCUUCCUUGCCAAAUCACCUGAGACAAAGUGAACAGCGGGAAAUUUUAUGUUUGUCCAAACACGGUUCUAGAUCAUUAAGCAAGGACUUCGAUAUAUUAGUCAAAAAAGACACCGAUGCUGGUAAAGCUAUUAGUCUAGGGAAAUAAAUCAGUUUAAUAGAAGCAAACAUGAUGGCAGCAACCACCUAAAGACUGAUUCUUCAAAGGUUGAAUCUGACGGUUGUUGCACAAUCAGAUGUUGGACUUCAUCUUUGCGGUGUAUUUUUUUAAUAUGAUGAAGAGUUUCAGGGAGGUCCAAAUCUGCAAUUGUUUUAGUGACGAAGCUACUAGAGACAAUCUAUUGAACAACUCAAAGAAGCAUAAUUUUGAGCGCCAAACAACAAAAUAGGAUCAUGAGCAAAAGUUGCAGUUUUAUCUUCUUCGAUCAGUCUGCCAUUCAACCUUCUAUCAGUCUUGGUCGUAUAACAUCUCCUCGAAAACGACUGUGAGUUUUGGGAAUCACACUUCUCUUUGUUGAUGAAAAGCAAUGAUGUGGCAACAACUCGAGUCGUGGUCCGUCUCCUCAUUGACCCGUUAUGAUCUUUACCAAGACCGAUUACUUUCAGAAUCUGGCUCAACCGAAGAUUUUGCAAGAAGGUUUAAACUGAAGCUUAUGUUAUAUAUGUUGCUAUAAAGAAAAGAAGAACCUUAUUUGUAAUACAGCAUGCGAAAAAAUAUUUAAGGUCACCAACAACAUGCUUCCACUCAGUGAAGGGCAUUGUGGAUUAUCAACAGCACCAUCCAGCGAGACUGUUGUUGCGCGAAGGUAGGCAUGGGUUGUGACAUAGCGACCCCACUAGGAAUUGAGAAUUGUGAAGCGUUAACAGGAUUAUCAUAAUUUAUAUGUUGUUUACUCAAUCCAUUAAAACAUGUUCACUGAGAAACACAUGGGGCUUCAACACAGCAUUAUCAUAUCUGUAUUGAACAUUGAAGAUUUCACACUUAAAAACUAUUUUAG